ensembl:lncRNA
ACUUUUUGAUGUAGUUUUAUGUAUUGAUUUAUAUACUGUAGAUAGAUAGAUGGAUGGAUGGAUAGAUAGAUAGAUAGAUUGAUAGAUAGAUAGAUAGAUAGAUAGAUAGAUAGAUAGAUACGCUAAUUUGAUAUUUGGUGAAAUUCCCAUGUAAAGCAUCGAAGUAAAAACUUGCUAGAUUUUGUAUUGCAUAAUCAAGAUUAAUAGGGGAAAUACAUCUGGUGUGUUUUAGUGAAACGGAAACUGUGAUCAGCAGGUGGCAAAAGCUUCCCAAGACAUCCCGUUAUAGCAUCAACAUGCUGCAGUUUCAGCUUUGAGAAUUAAAAAGUUGUAUUCUUAUAUCUAGCAGAGCUUUUCUGCUAAAUGUCAGUCAUGUAUGUGUAAAAAUCCACAAGCAAAAAGUUUAUCCUCCCAUAAAACUUUCCUCCCUUGACUUCCUCUGAUUCAUCCGAAAAGAAUACAUGGAUGAAACCCCCUCCCAAGACAUUCCCUCUUCCAUGAACAAUAAAUGUGGAAGUGUCAUGUAAUAUUGAUGGGCUCAGCUGAUGAUCUCCUGACGACCCCAGUUUGGUCCCUCUCAUGUUCUAUAAAAUAUUCAUGACCCUUGUCCCCUUCCUGCACCCACCCCCUCAGCAUCCCAUAAUGCAUAUGUGAUGUUCUGCUGGGCCGCUCGCACAAAAACACACAUCUAGCUGCAGGAGCAAAGAAUGAUGGGAUAUAUAAGCAUGAUCUCCUGUGGUGAAACCAGCUCUGAGUUUUUCUAAACUUAAAAAAACAACACAUUGAUUUCAGUUCCAAGUCUGGAAAUCUUUCCUCCAUUGUACACCUGAUGUUCCCCACCCCUGUACUUUCUCACAACUAGCAUUAAUGUCGUUCAACUCCUCCUACUCUCCCUCUACCUGUUCACCUGCAUCUGUUCUUUUGUCAUUUUUAUCAAUGCAUCCUUCUUUUCCUCCCUCCCUUGUGUUCCUCUUUCCGUCGUUCUCAUUAACACCCCUGCCCUGAUAGAUGUAAGUGGCGUACUGCUCCUUGAGAGGCUCUCAUGGGUGUCCCGAGCAGCCCUGGCACCCUGUGUUCCUCUCCUUAGACCCGGGCCUGUGCCAUCUGCCUCUGUCACUGCCACCGCUGGGCACUGGGAGUCAGUGUGCAUGAGGCAGUCCUCUUCUUCUGCAAGAAAUAAACACACGCUGUGGCUGCUGCAGCUUUCAGCCGGCAAACAUAUUCCUGGAAAGAGCAAGAAGAAAUUACAACAAUGAGAAGGUGUGGAACCCUUUUUUAUGUGUUCAAAUAUUAUUUUAAGCAUAAAUAACAUUAAAGAACCCAUAAUAGUGUUUCAGUCAACUUAGGUUUUUAGUUGCAAGUAUAUAAAUA